rnacentral:tRNA from 1 species
GCAGAGGUAGCUCAGUUGGUAGAGCACUCGGCUGUUAACCGAGGUGUCAUAGGUUCGAGUCCUAUCCUUUUGGUA